UGGCGAACGGGUGAGUAACGCGUGAGUAACCUGCCCUGGAGUGGGGGACAACAGUUGGAAACGACUGCUAAUACCGCAUAAGCCCACGGCCCGGCAUCGGGCUGCGGGAAAAGGAUUUAUUCGCUUCAGGAUGGACUCGCGUCCAAUUAGCUAGUUGGUGAGGUAACGGCCCACCAAGGCGACGAUUGGUAGCCGGACUGAGAGGUUGAACGGCCACAUUGGGACUGAGACACGGCCCAGACUCCUACGGGAGGCAGCAGUGGGGGAUAUUGCACAAUGGGGGAAACCCUGAUGCAGCGACGCCGCGUGGAGGAAGAAGGUUUUCGGAUUGUAAACUCCUGUCGUUAGGGACGAUAAUGACGGUACCUAACAAGAAAGCACCGGCUAACUACGUGCCAGCAGCCGCGGUAAAACGUAGGGUGCAAGCGUUGUCCGGAAUUACUGGGUGUAAAGGGAGCGCAGGCGGACCGGCAAGUUGGAAGUGAAAACCAUGGGCUCAACCCAUGAAUUGCUUUCAAAACUGCUGGCCUUGAGUAGUGCAGAGGUAGGUGGAAUUCCCGGUGUAGCGGUGGAAUGCGUAGAUAUCGGGAGGAACACCAGUGGCGAAGGCGACCUACUGGGCACCAACUGACGCUGAGGCUCGAAAGCAUGGGU
rnacentral:rRNA from 1 species